rnacentral:misc_RNA from 1 species
GUAGUAUGUCACGGGCCUGUCCUCGUUGUAGCGGUAGCUGUAGGCACCAGCCAGCCAGAGACCAGGGAACAGGGCGAGGGCGCCAACACCAAGAAGCACGGGCGCAGGACCUCUCCAGCCGCUGGGAGUGCCGCCGGCGCGGUAUGGUUGAGCAGCGCCGCCAGCGUAACGUGAACCGCCGCCGAAAGUGCGCGGUGUACCGCUGCCAGAGGAUGAC